GACGAACGCUGGCGGCGUGCCUAAUACAUGCAAGUAGAACGCUGAAGGAGGAGCUUGCUCUUCUGGAUGAGUUGCGAACGGGUGAGUAACGCGUAGGUAACCUGCCUGGUAGCGGGGGAUAACUAUUGGAAACGAUAGCUAAUACCGCAUAACAGUAGAUGUUGCAUGACAUUUGCUUAAAAGUUGCAAUUGCAUCACUACCAGAUGGACCUGCGUUGUAUUAGCUUGUUGGUGGGGUAACGGCGCACCAAGGCGACGAUACAUAGCCGACCUGAGAGGGUGGUCGGCCAGACUGGGACGGAGACAGGGCCCAGACGCCUACGGGAGGCAGCAGUAGGGAAUCUUCGGCAAUGGACGGAAGACUGACCGAGAAACGCCGCGUGAGUGAAGAAGGUUGUCGGAUCGUAAAGCUCGGUUGUAAGAGAAGAACGAGUGUGCGAGUGGAAAGUUCACACUGUGACGGUAUCUUACCAGAAAGGGACGGCUAACUACGUG
rnacentral:rRNA from 1 species